rnacentral:rRNA from 1 species
UACGUAGGCGGAAGAUUAAGUCAGUGGUGAAAUCCUGCAGCUUAACUGUAGAACUGUCAUUGAUACUGGUUUUCUUGAAUAUAGUUGAGGUAGGCGGAAUGUGUAAUGUAGCGGUGAAAUGCUUAGAUAUUACACAGAACACCGAUUGCGAAGGCAGCUUACUAAGCUAUGAUUGACGCUGAGGUACGAAAGCGUGGGGAGCGAACAGGAUUAGAUACCCUGGUAGUCC